UCCUCCUUUUUCUCUCUUUUCUCUUCCUCCCUUUUCUUCCCUCUCCCUUAUUCUUCUUUUUAAUUCAUUUUUUAAAUCCUGGAGCUCAACUCCAGAACUGCCUUUGAUACUGGCGAGCUUGAGUCCGGGAGAGGUGAGUGGAACUGCGAGUGUAGAGGUGAAAUUCGUAGAUAUUCGCAAGAACACCAGUGGCGAAGGCGGCUCACUGGCCCGGUACUGACGCUGAGGUGCGAAAGCGUGGGGAGCAAACAGG
rnacentral:rRNA from 1 species